CCUACGGGGGGCAGCAGUGAGGAAUAUUGGUCAAUGGACGAAAGUCUGAACCAGCCAAGUAGCGUGAAGGAAGACUGCCCUAUGGGUUGUAAACUUCUUUUAUAUGGGAAUAAAAUGUUCCACGUGUGGGAUUUUGUAUGUACCAUAUGAAUAAGGAUCGGCUAACUCCGUGCCAGCAGCCGCGGUAAUACGGAGGAUCCGAGCGUUAUCCGGAUUUAUUGGGUUUAAAGGGAGCGUAGGUGGAUUGUUAAGUCAGUUGUGAAAGUUUGCGGCUCAACCGUAAAAUUGCAGUUGAAACUGGGAGUCUUGAGUACAGUAGAGGUGGGCGGAAUUCGAGGUGUAGCGGUGAAAUGCUUAGAUAUCACGAAGAACUCCGAUUGCGAAGGCAGCUCACUGGACUGCAACUGACACUGAGGCUCGAAAGUGUGGGUAGCAAACAGGAUUAGAUACCCUUGUAGUC
rnacentral:rRNA from 1 species